AUUGAACGCUGGCGGCAUGCCUUACACAUGCAAGUCGAACGGCAGCGCGGGCUUCGGCCUGGCGGCGAGUGGCGAACGGGUGAGUAAUGUAUCGGAACGUGCCCUAGAGUGGGGGAUAACUAGUCGAAAGAUUGGCUAAUACCGCAUACGAUCUAAGGAUGAAAGCGGGGGAUCGCAAGACCUCGUGCUCAUGGAGCGGCCGAUAUCUGAUUAGCUAGUUGGUGGGGUAAAGGCCUACCAAGGCGACGAUCAGUAGCUGGUCUGAGAGGACGACCAGCCACACUGGGACUGAGACACGGCCCAGACGCCUACGGGAGGCAGCAGUGGGGAAUUUUGGACAAUGGAGGCAACCCUGAUCCAGCAAUGCCGCGUGUGUGAAGAAGGCCUUCGGGUUGUAAAGCACUUUUGUCCGGAAAGAAAUUGCCUGAGCUAAUACCUUGGGUAGAUGACGGUACCGGAAGAAUAAGCACCGGCUAACUACGUGCCAGCCGCCGCGGUAA
rnacentral:rRNA from 1 species